UUUCCGUAGGUGAACCUGCGGAAGGAUCAUUAUUGUAUAACCGAGGUGCGAGGGCUGUCGCUGACCCGAAAGUUCUUGCACGCACGAGUGCCCUCACACACAUCCAUCUCACCCCUAUGUGCAACACCGCGUGGGUCCACCUUUGGCUUGUUCGGAGGUGGGCUUACGUUUUCACACAAACUUUGUAUGCAGUGUAGUAUGUAUUUUUUUUUUUUGCGAGCACACAAUAAAUACAACUUUCAACAACGGAUCUCUUGGCUCUCACAUCGAUGAAGAACGCAGC
rnacentral:misc_RNA from 1 species